rnacentral:tRNA from 1 species
GACCCAGUAGCUCAGUGGUAAAAGAAUCUGCCUGCAAUGCAGGAGACAGGAAACAUGGGUUUGAUCCCUGGGUCA